rnacentral:rRNA from 1 species
CCUACGGGCGACAGCAGUGGGGAAUAUUGCACAAUGGGGGAAACCCUGAUCCAGCGACGCCGCGUGAGUGAAGAAGUAUUUCGGUACGUAAAGCUCUAUCAGCAGGGAAGAAAAUGACGGUACCUGACUAACAAGCCCCUGCUAACUACGUGCCAGCAGCCGCGGUAAUACGUAGGGGGCAAGCGUUAUCCGGAUUUACUGGUGGUAAAGGGAGCGUAGACGGCAGCGCAAGUCUGGCGUGAAAUGCCGGGGCCCAACCCGGGAACUGCUCUGGAAACUGGGAAGCUGGAGUGCAGGAGAGGUAAGCGGAAUUCCUGGUGUAGCGGUGAAAUGCGUAGAUAUCAGGAGGAACACCGGCGGCGAAGGCGGCUUACUGGACUGUAACUGACGCUGAGGCGCGAAGGCGUGGGGAGCAAACAGGAUUAGAUACCCGAGUAGUC